GAUGAAGAACGCAGCGAAAUGCGAUAAGUAAUGUGAAUUGCAGAAUUCAGUGAAUCAUCGAAUCUUUGAACGCACAUUGCGCCCGCCAGCAUUCUGGCGGGCAUGCCUGUUCGAGCGUCAUUUCAACCCUCGAGCCCCCCCGGGGGCCUCGGUGUUGGGGGACGGCACACCAGCCGCCCCCGAAAUGCAGUGGCGACCCCGCCGCAGCCUCCCCUGCGUAGUAGCACACACCUCGCACCGGAGCGCGGAGGCGGUCACGCCGUAAAACGCCCAACUUCCUUAGAGUUGACCUCGGAUCAGGUAGGAAUACCCGCUGAACUUAAGCAUAUCAAUAAGCGGAGGA
rnacentral:misc_RNA from 1 species